AAACGCUUAGGACCCGACAGUGCAGCGUGGGGGUGGCUGUUCACCAGGUUCUUUGGGACCUGGGGAUUCUCUAUGCCCUCACAGCUCAGGCCAGCAUCAGUUUUGUUUAUAAGGGUAUCAGAAAGGCACUUGGGAAUGUAGGUCGAUCUUCGGAUUUACUGUUAUAGCCCUUGGGUUGGAUAGAUGGCUCUCGAGACUGAGGACUGCGGUGCGCUUCCGUAUUGGGCGGCCAUUCGCUGGGCAAAGUGGCGGCAAGUGUCAGUCUGACUGGGCUUGUUGACCAUGAUGUCCACGGGUGGUGUCCUCUGCCGCGCACCAAGGAUGCUGGUGGUAACGGUUCUAAUCGA
rnacentral:rRNA from 1 species